rnacentral:misc_RNA from 1 species
GUUUUUAAAGUGUCUUAGGCCAUUUCAGUUGGUGGAAUGGAGGCAUUUUGAUGAGAUAAUAAUGAAAAUUCUGCCUUGUCAAGCACUGCCGAUGUGCUUUUAUUCUUUGUUAGCCUUCUCAGGCUACCAAAGGGUUGAAAUUUUAGAAAUUUUCAAGCCUCAUCUUAUUAAGGGCAAGCUUAUGGGUAUGGUGGGAGGAGACUCUUCUUGGAGCUAUUAAUAUUUUGUUCAUUGGCCAAAGUUUUAAUGGUUCUAGCAUGAUGAGAUGAUACAAAUAUACUGGUACAUAGCUGCUGACUGCUUUUGGCUAGUGCCAUAACAACAGCGGUUGAAAUUUUGGUUCCUAGUUUUGUAGUUCCUUAUCCAAUGAACGUGUGGCUCCUAACAGUUUCAUCACCCAUAUCCUUGAA